rnacentral:rRNA from 1 species
UGCGUAGGCUGAAUAGUCAGUCAGUGGUGAAAUCCUACAGCUUAACUGUAGAACUGCCAUUGAUACUGCUAUUCUUGAGUUCAGUUGAGGUAGGCGGAAUGUGUAGUAUAGCGGUGAAAUGCUUAGAUAUUACACAGAACACCGAUUGCGAAGGCAGCUUACUAAACUGACACUGACGCUGAGGCACGAAAGCGUGGGGAGCGAACAGGAUUAGAUACCCUGGUAGUCC